AAGGGUCCAUUUUCCCGCAUGUCAGACACAGUUACAUCAGAGGAGAGCAGUUAGGAGAAAGAAGAAAAAGUGGAGAGCAAACGUGCAGCAGUUCCAGUGAAUGCACACCAAAGAGUUUCGGUUUUGCCAGUGAUAUGUGGGAUAUGGAAGAGAAGAUGACUGCACUAAGCUGAAUGUAAUUCUCAUCUUUUGCUACCUUGCCUACACUCAAAUGGGAAUGUCCAACCGUUACGUUCCGUUCUUUGAAGUGCACACAACCAUGUUUCCACCCAACUGUCAGGCUCUUUUUACAACACAAAUGAAAUGGACAAUGGGCAACGACACUGUUUCAACAAUAUGACAAAAACAAGUCACGAACUACAAUGGAAAAAAAAGACUGAACAACAUACUCAGAACUAAUCGUUAUGAUGAUAUCCGUUGGUCUUGGAUCAGCAAUACAUAUGCAAAAAUAAUGUAAAUAGACAAAUAGCAUUACUCAUUACA